CCUACGGGAUGCAGCAGUAGGGAAUCUUGCACAAUGGGCGCAAGUCUGAUCGAGCCACGUCGCGUGCGUGAAGAAGGUCCUCGGAUCGUAAAACUCUGUUGUUUGAGGAGAAAGAGCGUGCGAGUAACUGUCCAAUUUUAGAUGGUAUCUAACAAGAAAGCCACGGCUAACUACGUGCCAGCAGCCGCGGUAAUACGGAGGUGGCCAGCGUUAUCCGGAUUUAUUGGGCGGAAAGGGAUCGCACGCCGUCUUUUAAGUCUGAUGUGAAAGCCUGCGGCUUAACCGGAGAAUUGCAGUGGAAACUGGAGGACUUGAGUGCAUACGGGGAGAGUGGAAUUCCAUGUGUAGCGGUGAAAUGCGUAGAUAUAUGGAAGAACACCGAGGGCGAAGGCAGCUCUCUGGUCUGUAACUGACGCUGAGGUUCGAAAGCGUGGGUAGCAAACAGGAUUAGAUACCCCUGUAGUC
rnacentral:rRNA from 1 species